rnacentral:tRNA from 1 species
GGGCGUGUGGCGGAAUCGGUAGACGCGUUGGUCUCAAACACCAAUAGUAGCAAUACUGUGUGGGUUCAAGUCCCACCACGCCCACCA